rnacentral:rRNA from 1 species
AUUGAACGCUGGCGGCAUGCCUUACACAUGCAAGUCGAACGGUAACAGGUCUUCGGAUGCUGACGAGUGGCGAACGGGUGAGUAAUACAUCGGAACGUGCCUAGUAGUGGGGGAUAACUGCUCGAAAGAGCAGCUAAUACCGCAUACGACCUGAGGGUGAAAGCGGGGGAUCGCAAGGGCCUCGCGCGACUCGCGCGGCCGAUGUCGGAUUAGCUAGUUGGCGGGGUAAUGGCCCACCAAGGCGACGAUCCGUAGCUGGUUUGAGAGAACGACCAGCCACACUGGGACUGAGACACGGCCCAGACUCCUACGGGAGGCAGCAGUGGGGAAUUUUGGACAAUGGGCGCAAGCCUGAUCCAGCCAUGCCGCGUGUGUGAAGAAGGCCUUCGGGUUGUAAAGCACUUUCGGACGGAACGAAAUCGCGCGGGUGAACAAUCCGCGUGGGUGACGGUACCGCAAGAAGAAGCACCGGCUAACUACGUGCCAGCAGCCGCCGUAAUAC